UAGGGAAUCUUCCACAAUGGACGCAAGUCUGAUGGAGCAACGCCGCGUGAGUGAAGAAGGUUUUCGGACCGUAAAGCUCUGUUGUUGGUGAAGAAGGAUAGAGGUAGUAACUGGCCUUUAUUUGACGGUAAUCAACCAGAAAGUCACGGCUAACUACGUGCCAGCAGCCGCGGUAAUACGUAGGUGGCAAGCGUUGUCCGGAUUUAUUGGGCGUAAAGCGAGCGCAGGCGGAAGAAUAAGUCUGAUGUGAAAGCCCUCGGCUUAACCGAGGAAUUGCAUCGGAAACUGUUUUCUUGAGUGCAGAAGAGGAGAGUAGAACUCCAUGUGUAGCGGUGGAAUGCGUAGAUAUAUGGAAGAAUACCAGUGGCGAAGGCGGCUCUCUGGUCUGCAACUGACGCUGAGGCUCGAAAGCAUGGGUAGCGAACAGGAUUAGAUACCCUGGUAGUCCAUGCCGUAAACGAUGAGUGCUAAGUGUUGGGAGGCUUCCGCCCCUCAGUGCUGCAGCUAACGCAUUAAGCACUCCGCCUGGGGGAGUACGACCGCAAGGUUGAAAC
rnacentral:rRNA from 1 species